GACCAAGUCUGUGUGUUUUUGAAAAUUUUUCUAAUUUUGAGCAAAAUUACUUUCUUCUUACUCCUCCUUUCCUAUUCUCUCUUUUGAUCUUCCUGGCUUCAGGAGUUUGGGGAGUCUGAAUAUUGAUCUUUAUGGACACUUGAUGUAACAAAUCAUGUUGAUGCUGAUGAAACAACAUCUCUGCCUUGACUGCAUUGUGAAACUACAGAAGAUAGAAACAGAAACCAGUGAUGGUGGCAGGUUGCUGAUCACUUCAGACCAGAACCUUUGGUCAGCAAGGAGCUUCCUUUCCCCAAAGGAUGAAUUCCUGUCAACGCGGUGGUUCUUUGACAUUCUGCUGUGAAGAUGGAAGAAAUAUGCCUGUAGCAACAUAGCAAUGGCAAGGUCAGUGAAACCGAGGGGAGAAAUAAGAGAGUUUGCAAGGCUUUUGCUCUCAGUGGGGGAAAUUAAAGGUGGCUUAUAUUAUAAAAUAUUAAAUAGUGAUUUAAUCAGCAGUGAGAUAUGUAAGUGAGCUUAAUUAGAAAUACAUAUUAUUCUUUGACUUUAAAGCACAAAAUGAAAAAUUAAAGCAAUCUUGGAGGAUAUGUAAUCAGCGAGGAAUAAUAUGUUGGAA
rnacentral:lncRNA from 1 species